GCGAAACCCGUUCCGGUCGCCGCGGUUAUUCGGUGGAUCCUAGCGUUUUUCGGAAGCAUUGGGUUUAAACGGUACCUAAGCGGCCUUAUAAGUCAUCGGUGAAAUUUUUUGGCUUAACCAAAAAAUUGCCAUUGAUACUGUAGGGCUUGAAUAUUUGUGAAGUAACUAGAAUAUGUAGUGUAGCGGUGAAAUGCUUAGAUAUUACAUGGAAUACCAAUUGCGAAGGCAGGUUACUAACAAAUGAUUGACGCUGAUGGACGAAAGCGUGGGUAGCGAACAGGAUUAGAUACCCGAGUAGUC
rnacentral:rRNA from 1 species